rnacentral:tRNA from 1 species
GUGUACGUAAUUUAAAAAAAAUAUCAAGUUGUGACCUUGUAAAUAGAUCAACCUCGCACACC